rnacentral:rRNA from 1 species
AGUGAGCGCUGGCGGUAGGCCUAACACAUGCAAGUCGAACGGCAGCACAGGAGAGCUUGCUCUCUGGGUGGCGAGUGGCGGACGGGUGAGGAAUACGUCGGAAUCUACUCUGUCGUGGGGGAUAACGUAGGGAAACUUACGCUAAUACCGCAUACGACCUACGGGUGAAAGCAGGGGAUCUUCGGACCUUGCGCGAUUGAAUGAGCCGAUGUGGGAUUAGCUAGUUGGCGGGGUAAAGGCCCACCAAGGCGACGAUCCGUAGCUGGUCUGAGAGGAUGAUCAGCCACACUGGACCUAAGACACGGUCCAGGCUCCUACGGGAGGCACACGUGGUGAAUAUUGGACAAUGGGCGCAAGCCUGAUCCAGCCAUACCGCGUGGGUGAAGAAGGCCUUCGGGUUGUAAAGCCCUUUUGUUGGGAAAGAAAUCCAGCGGGCUAAUACCCGGUUGGGAUGACAGUACCCAAAGAAUAAGCACCGGCUAACUUCGUGCCAGCAGCCGCCGUAA